UGCCGGGUAGACGAAUAGGCAAAGUCGCAUGGUUCUGACCCAUGAAAUUGCAGGUUCAAACCCUGCCCCGGCAG
rnacentral:tRNA from 2 species